GGUAGUCCACGCCGUAAACGAUGAGUGCUAAGUGUUGGAGGGUUUCCGCCCUUCAGUGCUGCAGUUAACGCAUUAAGCACUCCGCCUGGGGAGUACGGCCGCAAGGCUGAAACUCAAAGGAAUUGACGGGGGCCCGCACAAGCGGUGGAGCAUGUGGUUUAAUUCGAAGCAACGCGAAGAACCUUACCAGGUCUUGACAUCCUUUGACCACUCUAGAGAUAGAGCUUUCCCUUCGGGGACAAAGUGACAGGUGGUGCAUGGUUGUCGUCAGCUCGUGUCGUGAGAUGUUGGGUUAAGUCCCGCAACGAGCGCAACCCUUAUUGUUAGUUGCCAUCAUUCAGUUGGGCACUCUAGCGAGACUGCCGGUGACAAACCGGAGGAAGGUGGGGAUGACGUCAAAUCAUCAUGCCCCUUAUGACCUGGGCUACACACGUGCUACAAUGGACGGUACAAUGAGUCGCGAGAUCGCGAGGUUUAGCUAAUCUCUUAAAGCCGUUCUCAGUUCGGAUUGUAGGCUGCAACUCGCCUACAUGAAGCCGGAAUCGCUAGUAAUCGUGGAUCAGCACGCCACGGUGAAUACGUUCCCGGGCCUUGUACACACCGCCCGUCACACCACGAGAGUUUGUAACACCCAAAGUCGGUGAGGUAACCUUGAGGCAGCGCUAGCCAAGAUACAAAG
rnacentral:rRNA from 1 species